UUGGCUGGUGUACCCGAACGUUGAAUGGUUGGAUGCGGAAGAAGUACUGUAGACCCUUCUCCCACGUCAAGUAUCUAGAGUGUUCGUUCCUACCCGAUAUACACUCCUGGUCAGAAAAAUUUGGUCAGAUCGGCACCAGGAGUCACACCACCAUGCUCAUCUCCCUACUGAACCCCGUCGAGAGCUCCAUACAUUCUCGUCCCGUCCCACCGCUGAGAUUUAGACAACGCCACCAAGUUUGUGAAAAUAGCACUAUCACUUACACACGCUGUAUAAAUGAGCAGUACUACAAAUUGUUCAAAGGGAACUAGCAACAGGAAGUGAUUAAAUCAAAGGUUCUAUUUUUAUCACUGAUACUCCCGGCGGAGAGUACUAUUGACCAGCAUUGUUGACUCACUGUUGGUUUCAUAGCCUUGCAUCCAAGUAACUAGAAUUUUAGAGAAUAAUUUUUUCGUGUAUAAAAAAAGGUUGAACUUAAGUUUAUUAUCAGUUUUUCACCUUUUGUUUUCCUUGAAACAACUUGGCAGACUUGCACAAUCUAUAUUUUUGCCCUUAGAGUUCAUGCAAAAGUUUAAAGCAUCGGAUUUCCCAGGUCCUAUAGAGUAUCGAGCUUGGGAGAUUACUGAUGCAUUUCUAAAACUAAAUUUUUUGUAACCAAUAUCGUGUUUCAUACUAACUAUAUCACAUUGUGAGUGGCUGAUACAUUGAUCACUGCAAGCUUUGAUCAAAUUAUAUUCUUGGUUCUAUAUGUCCAGAACGCAACGCACGAUCAACAUUUUGUGAAAUAUUAUCUAUAUGAACUAGUAGUUUAUUAGACUUUAUAUGUUCAAUUGUUCAUGCCCAUUAUUUUAUCAAACGAGAGCGCAGCAACGCUGCGCUGCAUUUCUAGUAUAUUUCCAACUCGAGGUAUUAUACAUUUGGAUGAAAGCAGCAAGGAUAGGUCACAAGUUAAAUUGAUGUGAAAAGCCAUUUAAUCAACAUAUGGUGUGAGCAACUAACAUAAAUUAACAAAAUAUGCUAUCCUCACAUGAUAACAUGUACAUAAACAUAGCCAACACGCAAACAUACUCUUCUCAACAUAACACAUAUAAGAACCAUCUCCUAACAUCCCACAUCCAGCCAUACAAAAAACUGAAUGUAACUUUAUGAUUGAUGUCCAAUGGAUAUUAAGUAUGCUUAUGACCAAGAGUGUGGCUAUUCGAAUAGCUUUUACACCUUGCAGGGAAGUACAUCUUUACCCAUAUGAUGAUGAAAGUAUACCCGAUCUUCCAAAAGGUGUGAGAUACGUUGAUUGGUGGAGUUUGACGUUGACGAUCCAAAGGCUCUGAUCAUGAUAGAUCGAGAACCCUAACAACCACUACAUCACUACUCCGUGUUUAUCAACUGUGCCAAACGCGAUUGACCUCACCAAGAAGGCUUUCAUGCAUGCAAAUCGAGAACACAAGAAAAACACGGUAGAUACAAUCUGAAUAUUGCUAAUUACCGAUGAAGAACUCAAAUUGGGGUUCCAUAAACUGAUAUUCAGUGAAACUGUCUAAAAUAGAAUAAUCUAAGCAAAAUUCAAGUCUAAAGUAUGAUGGCUACUAAAUAUAUAUGAGGGAGACAUGAUGAGUUUAACCUAGAGUUAUGCGGCUGUAGGGAGGACACGACCUGGGCUUGGACCCUGACAAGCUUACAAGUCCUGACAUGGCCCAAAACGGUGAUGCAAUACCUUAUUUCGACUAUGAUUGAUUUUCAAGGAAUCUAAGAGU